UGAUGAAAUCCAUGGAAAUAUCCUCCCAUAGAUGAAUUGGAAUGGAUAAUGGUUGUAAAAUAUGGUAGAGAAUACCUAGGGGUGAGAGACAACUCUCUCUAAGGAACUCGACAAAAAGCCCUGUAACUUUGAGAGAAGGGGUGCCUCCUCAGGAGGUCGUAGUGACCAGGCUCGAGCGACUGUUUACCAAAAACACAGGUCUCCGCAAAGUCGUAAGACCAUGUAUGGGGGUUGAUGCCUGCCCAGUGCCGGAAGGUUAAGGAAGUUGGUGACCUGAUGACGGGGAAGCCAGCGACUGAAGCCACGGUGAAUGACGGUCGUAACUAUAACAGUCCUAAGGUUGUUUCUACCUUAUUUUUUUGGAAAACCAAACAUUCUUCCAAAAACCUUUGAACAUCAUUUUUAAGGCCAUCCCAA
rnacentral:ncRNA from 1 species